GACGAACGCUGGCGGCGUGCUUAACACAUGCAAGUCGAACGGAAAGGCCCUGCUUUUGUGGGGUGCUCGAGUGGCGAACGGGUGAGUAACACGUGAGUAACCUGCCCUUGACUUUGGGAUAACUUCAGGAAACUGGGGCUAAUACCGGAUAGGAGCUCCUGCUGCAUGGUGGGGGUUGGAAAGUUUCGGCGGUUGGGGAUGGACUCGCGGCUUAUCAGCUUGUUGGUGGGGUAGUGGCUUACCAAGGCUUUGACGGGUAGCCGGCCUGAGAGGGUGACCGGCCACAUUGGGACUGAGAUACGGCCCAGACUCCUACGGGAGGCAGCAGUGGAGAAUAUUGCACAAUGGGCGGAAGCCUGAUGCAGCAACGCCGCGUGCGGGAUGACGGCCUUCGGGUUGUAAACCGCAUUCGCCUGUGACGAAGCGUGAGUGACGGUAAUGGGUAAAGAAGCACCGGCUAACUACGUG
rnacentral:rRNA from 1 species